rnacentral:rRNA from 1 species
UGGGGAAUCUUGCGCAAUGCGCGAAAGCGUGACGCAGCAACGCCGCGUGGGGGAAGACGGCCUUCGGGUUGUAAACCCCUUUCAGGAGGGACGAAGGCUCACCGGUGAAUAGCCGUGUGGGUUGACGGUACCUCCAGAAGAAGCUCCGGCUAACUACGUGCCAGCAGCCGCGGUAAUACGUAGGGAGCAAGCGUUGUCCGGAAUCAUUGGGCGUAAAGCGCGCGUAGGCGGCCCUGUAAGUCCGCUGUGAAAGUCAAAGGCUCAACCUUUGAAAGCCGGUGGAUACUGCAGGGCUAGAGUCCGGAAGAGGCGAGUGGAAUUCCUGGUGUAGCGGUGGAAUGCGCAGAUAUCAGGAGGAACACCAAUAGCGAAGGCAGCUCGCUGGGACGGUACUGACGCUAAGGCGCGAAAGCGUGGGGAGCGAACAGGAUUAGAUACCCUGGUAGUCCACGCCGUAAACGAUGGGCACUAGGUGUGGGAGGUGUCGGACUCCUCCCGUGCCGUCG